AAAAGUUUAAUUUUAGCUUAGUGGUUUUCUCAGUUUUUUAUUUUACAUGUAAAUUUUAGUAUGGAGUAUUGGAAAUUUAAAUAGUUUUUAAUUUAUUAAUAAUUCGCAGUAUAAAAUAUUAAGUAUUAAAUAAGUUUAGAAUUAGAAAUAAAAUUUAAAAUUGACAAAAUUUGUGCCAGCAGUUGCGGUUACACAAAUAAUUUAAGAAAAUUAUUUUAGAAAUAGUAAAUUUAAUAUUUAUGUAUGUAAUUAUAAUUAAAUUUUUUAAGUGAAAUUUGAAAUUUAUAUAUUAUUAAAUAAAAAAAUUUUUGAAGCUAAUAAAUUUAAAUUAAAAACUAGGAUUAGAUACCCUAUUAUUUUAAACUUAAUUUAUUUUCUUAAUUAGUAACAGUUAUGAUCUCCAAAAUUAAAAAAUUUGGCGGUAUUUUAGUCUUUUCAGAGGAACCUGUUCUAUAAUUGAUAGUCCACGAUUAAUUAUACUUAUUUUAGAAAUUUAUAUAUCGUCGUAGUUUGAAUAUUUUAAAAGAAUUUAUAAUAUUCAAUAUUUAAUAUUAUAAAUGAAAUCAGAUCAAGGUGUAGUUUAUAAAUAAGAAGAAAUGGGUUACAAUAAAUUUAUUUUUGGAUUAAUUUAUGAAAAUUAAAUUAUGAAAUUGGAUUUGAAAGUAAUUUUUUUAAUUUUUUAAGAAUGAUUUAAGCUCUAAAAUAUGUACAUAUUGCCCGUCGCUUUUGUUUUAAGAUGAAAUAAGUCGUAACAAAGUAGAUUUACUGGAAAGUGAAUCUAGAGG
rnacentral:ncRNA from 1 species